CGAGAUCUUCGUGUACCCCACGAGCCUGCCAAGUGGCCUACUGGGGAAUGGAGAAGAUCGAG
rnacentral:snoRNA from 1 species